rnacentral:lncRNA from 1 species
UUGGCUGGCCCCAUCUCUUAGAUCCCUGCUUGACUGACAGCCCAAUUCUAACUGUGCCGACUUCUCUGGUGGCUACGGCUGCGGCUACGGCUGCUGGAGCGGGACCUGUGGCGAUGGCGUUUCUCCCGAGAUUUGGAUCGAGUUCUCCUCUUGCGUUCACGUGACAUGGAGCGAGAUCGAUGUCUGCGAUGCUCUCUGGACCUGGAUCUACCAGACAAGAUUUGAUUUUGUUUCUACCUUUGUAAUUACUAUAUUUCUCAUUUAUUAAAGCCUUUUCUUUAA